GCUUUUCUUUUUUUUAUAAUUUGUCAUUCAUGAAAUUGAGAUUUUAAAUCCAUUUGGUAAAUUGAAGCUGGAAAAGUCAACACUGUAAUAAUAACUGCUACUGUAUUAAUCAACCCUUUUUUUUUUUGGUGAGGGGGAAAGCAAUGGGAUUGACGAGCCUUUGGACAUCCCAUUAAGUUCCACCAUUCUUAGGGAAAGCUUCGGAGUCAGAUUCAAAUAAUUUGCUUACAUUCAAACUCAGCUCAG
rnacentral:lncRNA from 1 species